GAUGAACGCUGGCGGCGUGCCUAAUACAUGCAAGUCGAGCGAAUGGAUUAAGAGCUUGCUCUUAUGAAGUUAGCGGCGGACGGGUGAGUAACACGUGGGUAACCUGCCCAUAAGACUGGGAUAACUCCGGGAAACCGGGGCUAAUACCGGGUAACAUUUUGAACCGCAUGGUUCGAAAUUGAAAGGCGGCUUCGGCUGUCACUUAUGGAUGGACCCGCGUCGCAUUAGCUAGUUGGUGAGGUAACGGCUCACCAAGGCAACGAUGCGUAGCCGACCUGAGAGGGGGAGCGGCCACAGUGGGACUUAGACACGGCCCCGACUCCUACGGGAGGCAGCAGUAGGGAAUCUUCCGCAAUGGACGAAAGUCUGACGGAGCAACGCCGCGUGAGUGAUGAAGGCUUUCGGGUCGUAAAACUCUGUUGUUAGGGAAGAACAAGUGCUAGUUGAAUAAGCUGGCACCUUGACGGUACCUAACCAGAAAGCCUCGGCUAACUACGUGCCAGCCGCCGCUGUAA
rnacentral:rRNA from 1 species